rnacentral:rRNA from 1 species
AUACGUAGGGGGCGAGCGUUGUCCGAAUUCACUGGGCGUAAAGCGCAUGCAGGCGGCCGCACAAGUUGGAUGUGAAAUCUCCCGGCUCAACUGGGAGGGGACGUUCAAAACUGUGCGGCUCGAGGGCGGUAGAGGAAGGUAGAAUUCCCGGUGUAGUGGUGAAAUGCGUAGAUAUCGGGAGGAAUACCCGUGGCGAAGGCGACCUUCUGGACCGUUUCUGACGCUCAGAUGCGAAAGCUAGGGGAGCGAACGGGAUUAGAAACCCCGGUAGUCCUAGCCGUAAACGAUGUCGACUGGGCGUGGGUGGGGUAAAAGCCAUCCGUGCCGAAGCUAACGCGUGAAGUCGACCGCCUGGGGACUACGGCCGCAAGGUUAAA